rnacentral:rRNA from 1 species
GAGAGAGUUCUCUUAUUAAUGUGUGUUUCUUUGGUUAUAUUACCUUUUGCAUCAUGAUUUGUCGAUUUUGUUUAGAGAUUUCUAGCUAUUCGAAGGGUUGCGAUUUUUAGGGUGUUUGCUUUUUGAGCUUAGCGUUUUGCGGGUAGUAUUCGUGAAAACAUUCUAAGGUAGUGAUAAAUUAUUCGUGUUUCCUUAUAUCUAAUCGGAAAGUUUUUUUGUCUGUCCAGGUUGGCUGUGAUGAUAUGGUUAAUCCCUCAAGAGAAUUUAUUUAGUUAUUAAUUUCUGGGUUUAGAAGUUUCCUUGAUUUUUGAGUUUGUUAUAAAAAUUUUUUAUUACUAUUUAAUUCUUUGGUUUUGUUCUUUCUUUUAUUAAUUGGUUAUUUUAUGAUAGAAUAAGUAAAAUGUGAUUAGCUUCUUUUCCUCUCGAAGUGUGUCGGUCUGUUUAUUAAAAACAUUUCCAUUUUUGAAAUUUAAAUGGUAUUUACCUGCCCGAUGUUGAUUUAUCAAUGGCCGCAGUAUAUUGACUGUGCGAAGGUAGCAUAAUUAGUUGCCUCAUAAUUGGAGGAUUGUUUGAAUGGUUUGACCAGAUAUUCUUUAAAAUGGAGUCUUUUUUUGAAAUUGAUUUUAAGGUGCAGAAUCCUUGAUUAUAUAAUGGGACGGAAAGACCCCGAGAUCUUUAUAUAUGACUAUAUUUAUUUGGGGUAAAGGUAAAUUUUUUAUUUAUUUUUUGAUCCUUUAGAGUUAGUAGGGUUAUAGGUAUAGUUACCUCGGGGAUAACUGUGUAAGAAAUGAGUAGAGAUCUUAUCGAUUCAUUUAUUUGCCACCUCGAUGUUGACUUGAGGAUUUGCAUGGGCGCAGCAGUUUGUGUAAAAGGUCUGUUCGACCUUUAAUUCCUCUCAUGAGUUGAGUUAAGACCGGCGUGAGCCAGGUCGGUUCUUAUCUAUUUUUCAAUUUAUUUAGUACGAAAGGAAUAAUAUUUUUUUAUGUUGAGCGUGGACUACAGUUGUGGGUUUACUUUGCAGAGGUAAUUUAAA